UUAGGGGUAUAGCUCAGUGGUAGAAAACUUUUCUAGCAUGAAAGAGGCCCUGGGUUCAAUUCCCAGCACUGAAA
rnacentral:tRNA from 1 species